GACAAACGCUGGCGGCGUGCCUAACACAUGCAAGUCGAACGGGGUAAUUUCUUCGGAGAUUACUUAGUGGCGAACGGGUGAGUAACGCGUGAGAAACCUGCCUUCCAGUGGGGGACAACAGUUGGAAACGACUGAUAAUACCGCAUAAUGCCAUUUAGGGGCAUCCCUGAAUGACCAAAGAUUUAUUGCUGAAAGAUGGUCUCGCGUCUGAUUAGCUAGUUGGUGAAGUAACGGCUCACCAAGGCGACGAUAAGUAGCCGGUCUGAGAGGAUGAACGGCCACAUUGGGACUGAGAUACGGCCCAGACUCCUACGGGAGGCAGCAGUGGGGAAUAUUGGGCAAUGGGGGAAACCCUGACCCAGCAACGCCGCGUGAAGGAAGAAGGCCUUCGGGUUGUAAACUUCUUUUACCAGGGACGAACAAAUGACGGUACCUGGAGAAAAAGCAACGGCUAACUACGUGCCAGCCGCCGCGGUAAGAC
rnacentral:rRNA from 1 species